GUUUAUCUUAUAUUUUAUCUACCCCAGAACUCAUCUCCAAAAAAUGGGGAAAGAGAGAUGAAGGGGAUGAUAGAAAAACAAGGUAGCUGAACUUGUACUUUAAUUGAAAAAAAAAACAUAAUUACUCUAAGCAAAAAAUAGUUGUAGACGAAAGCACAUGUUCAAAGAAACAAAGUGAUCAAAACCAUAUUAACUUUAUGUUUUUUCUCUUCCCACCUAACCUCCAGAUUCCUAACUUGUUUCAUCCUACUGGUUCUUUUCAAAUUAUACCUGUGAUAAUUCAGCUGUUAAAAGAGGAGUUUUGAAGUCCUGUUAAUACGUGACUCGAGGAAAAUCCAAGCAUCCACACCCCUCACUGAGAGUCCAGCCAUCACCCUGCUGCCAAUCUCAACCUUCUGAAACCCACAUUGGAUCUGUCACUCUUCUGCUUCUUCCCAUUGCCUCCAGGUAUUUUGGAAGAUCCCUGUUCUGUAACUCUACAUUCUUAUCUGCAAGGUAUCACUUAUUUCAGCCAGUUAAUAACCACCUCUCCUUGUCAAGAUGUUAUAUCUGAGACACUCCCAAAAGUUUCUGCUGGU
rnacentral:lncRNA from 1 species